ACUCAGCACAAUCACACGCUAAUUAACACAACCACUCUCAACGUACACACCCAAUUACACGCAUGUAUGCAUUCAUGUAUACACUCGCACACACAGGCACACACAUACGCACACACACACACACUUAAGAGCUACCUGUUCCUGAACAAUUUCAGUUUCCAUGUCCCACUGCAAAGGCUCUCUUUAGUUAGUCCAGCCUACCUUCAUACUGCAGGUUAAAAAAGUGAUGACAAUAUAGGCACAUGUCCAGUCCAUUUGAUGAGAGAUACCAUAGGUUGAGACAGGUCUCUGACUGGAGUCUAAAUCUGGGACCCCCAUACACACUUAGCAGAAACACAUGCUAAUUAAAAAAACACUCUCAACAUACACAUGCCCUCUAUAUACAGUAGUUAAUCACGUAUACAUUCACAUGCACACACUUAAGCACACACACUCGCGAUAACCUAUCCCUGAACACUUUCGGUUUCCAUUUCCCACACUAAAGGCUUUCGAAGUUAGUCCAGCCCCCUACAGUAAUACUGUACAAAAGUACAAAAGUGAGAACAAUUCAUGCAUCCAGUUCAUUUGAUGACAGACACUAUAGGACGACACAGACAACUGACUGCACAUCUUACCAAAAACCCAGGUCUGCUAUGGGGAGCUACAGUAAAAACUCCAGAAAGAUCCCACAACUAUACACAGUCCAGCAGUUAAAAGACGUGAAGUUUGGUCACCGGUUUCCUCGACAUGGACUGAAGCUCCUGCACUGGCUGGCCAAUGAUAUGAUCAAGUUUGACAAUAACAAAAAGAUGUGGGCACAGCACAACCCCAACAAUGGAGAUUUUGGGUUUCACCCCUUCCACAACGCAGAGGGGAUCCUGCCUCCUCCCCCAUCCCAGAGCGAGUACUUUGAGGUGGGGAACUUGCAUUCUUCAAAUGCCACGUCUCUGCCAUUCAAGCAAGAUCAAUCUGGGAACAGUGAAAGUAACACAGAUCGCAUCAUCCUGAGUUUGUACUCGAAUAUGAUGAUCGGCAGUGUCUACAUCACUGAGCACACACCUCACAACUUACAAUUCAGUGCUGAGGACACUUACCUCCUUAGCAACAACCUCAUCAGGUCCAUAAAAGAUAAGAGCCUGGAUAAUUUCCUAAUGAAGGCUGGGUAUGAUCGGGGUGAGAAUGUCCCUGACAAAAAAGUUCCAAAUAAGAUUGUCCAAGAUGAUUCAGGCCACCCGAAAGAUCCCUGUUGCACUAUACUGUAGACUAUAAAUGUUUAAGAACAAAUUCAACUUGGGUAUGAUACAUUUUACUAUGGCUUUUGAUAGUGCAGUCUACUACGUGGGUGCAAACGGUAGAUCUAAUUUCUUUUUUUUGUAAACUAUAUAUUUUUUAAACGGCAGGGCAUACACAAGUUCAGAGAUGAGCACUCAUUUCUUUUUAUAAACAGAACAAUGAUUCUAAGUCGGUGGCUUAAAAUGAAAAUGCAUUAUGAGAUUUUUUUGUCCAUAUUCUUUAUUCAAUUUCAUAAAAUAUGUACCUCAGAUAAAGAUGUGCUUAAUAAACUCAAAUCAGUUAUGAUUAUUUCAAAAAAUGUUUCCUUGUUUUUGAAUUGUGGUCCUUCUGUGGAAGUGAUGUCUGUGAAUAGACUAUGAUCUUUCUUGUCGAGCAGUACUGCGAAGACGCCUCAGUUUCUGCAGCUUCGGCACCGUCUCCACUGCCUUACGCUGUGCAGGUUUAUUUCUCUCAAAGGCACGAAUCCUGACGAGAUUAUAUUUCUCCAGCAGGGGUCACUGUCUGAAAGAUUUGUGAAGAUUCAAUCCAGCAUCCUUAACAGAUUUAAAAUUUUUUUAAAUUGACUGACCAAUGAAGUGAAAAGCACAUUUGACUUUUAAGGUGACAUUCUCUAAACAGCAAGUUACCUUAUUCAGUUGCCUUAGACCAGUUACAUAUCUUAGCAUCACAAAAUUUUGAGUUACAAUCUUUUAUUUAUAAACUUGUAGCAAAGUGCAAAGUGCAGUAUAUCAUGGUCUUACAUAUACUCCAUUUGUUAUUCUGCUCCACUCCCAACCCCAAUCGUACCAGAUCAGCCAUAAGAAAAUUAUGCACUAGUUUGCCUUUAUCUGUCAUCACAGGAGUAUCCUUGGUAUCUGCCAUUUUAGUGAAUCCCCAAAGGUUUUUGUAAGGACCAGAUUCAAUGAAAAUCUGCUACUCCUAGAAUUGUAAAAA